GGGGCCCCGCACAAGCGGAGGAGCAUGUGGUUUAAUUCGAUGAUACGCGAGGAACCUUACCUGGGCUCGAACGUAAGAUGACUGUAGGUGAAAGCUUACAUCUCUUCGGAGCAUUUUACGAGGUGCUGCAUGGUUGUCGUCAGCUCGUGCCGCGAGGUGGAGCUAGUCCCAUAAAACCGAUCGUAGUCCGGAUCGCAGUCUGCAACUCGACUGCGUGAAGUCGGAAUCGCUAGUAAUCGUGAAUCAGAAUGUCACGGUGAAUACGUUCCCGGGCCUU
rnacentral:rRNA from 1 species